GACGAACGCUGGCGGCGUGCUUAACACAUGCAAGUCGAACGGAAAGGCCCUGCUUUUGUGGGGUGCUCGAGUGGCGAACGGGUGAGUAACACGUGAGUAACCUGCCCUUGACUUUGGGAUAACUUCAGGAAACUGGGGCUAAUACCGGAUAGGAGCUCCUGCUGCAUGGUGGGGGGUGGAAAGUUUCGGCGGUUGGGGAUGGACGCGCGGCUUAUCAGCUUGUUGGUGGGGUAGUGGCUUACCAAGGCUUUGACGGGUAGCCGGCCUGAGAGGGUGACCGGCCACCUUGGGACUGAGAUACGGCCCAGACUCCUACGGGAGGCAGCAGUGGGGAAUAUUGCACAAUGGGCGGAAGCCUGAUGCAGCAACGCCGCGUGCGGGAUGACGGCCUUCGGGUUGUAAACCGCUUUCGCCUGUGACGAAGCGUGAGUGACGGUAAUGGGUAAAGAAGCACCGGCUAACUACGUG
rnacentral:rRNA from 1 species